rnacentral:rRNA from 1 species
UACGGAGGGUGCAAGCGUUAUCCGGAUUUACUGGGUUUAAAGGGUGUGUAGGCGGGUCAUUAAGUCAGUGGUGAAAUCUCCGAGCUUAACUUGGAAACUGCCAUUGAUACUAUUGAUCUUGAAUUUUGUUGAGGUAGGCGGAAUAAGUCAUGUAGCGGUGAAAUGCAUAGAUAUGACUUAGAACACCAAUUGCGAAGGCAGCUUGCUAAACAAAUAUUGACGCUGAGGCACGAAAGCGUGGGGAUCAAACAGGAUUAGAUACCCUGGUAGUCCACGCCCUAAACGAUGAUUACUCGACAUACGCGAUACACAGUGUGUGUCUGAGCGAAAGCAUUAAGUAAUCCACCUGGGAAGUACGACCGCAAGGUUGAA